AGAGUUUGUUCCUGGCUCAGGAUGAACGCUAGCGGCAGGCUUAACACAUGCAAGUCGAGGGGCAGCAGGGAGUAGCAAUACUCCGCUGGCGACCGGCGCACGGGUGCGUAACGCGUAUGCAACCUGCCUGUAACAGGGGGAUAACCCGGAGAAAUUUGGACUAAUACCCCAUAUUGCCGCGUGGCAGCAUUGUUGUGCGGCGAAAGGAGCGAUCCGGUUACAGAUGGGCAUGCGUGACAUUAGGUAGUUGGCGGGGCAACGGCCCACCAAGCCGACGAUGUCUAGGGGAACUGAGAGGUUAGUCCCCCACACUGGUACUGAGACACGGACCAGACUCCUACGGGAGGCAGCAGUGAGGAACAUUGGACAAUGGCCGGAAGGCUGAUCCAGCCAUGCCGCGUGAAGGAUAAGGUCCUAUGGAUUGUAAACUUCUUUUGAGUGGGAGCAAUAAGGGUGUCGUGACAUCCGAUGAGAGUACCAUUCGAAUAAGCAUCGGCUAACUCCGUGCCAGCAGCCGCGGUAAUACGGAGGAUGCGAGCGUUAUCCGGAUUUAUUGGGUUUAAAGGGUGCGUAGGCGGUUUGUCAAGUCAGCGGUGAAACGCAAGGGCUUAACCCUUGACCUGCCGUUGAAACUGAUUGACUAGAAUGCGGAUGCUGUGGGAGGAAUGUGUGGUGUAGCGGUGAAAUGCAUAGAUAUCACACAGAACACCGAUUGCGAAGGCAUCUCACAAAUCCGUGAUUGACGCUGAGGCACGAAAGUGUGGGGAUCAAACAGGAUUAGAUACCCUGGUAGUCCACACUGUAAACGAUGAUGACUCGCUGUCGGCGAUAUACAGUCGGUGGCCAAGCGAAAGCGAUAAGUCAUCCACCUGGGGAGUACGACCGCAAGGUUGAAACUCAAAGGAAUUGACGGGGGCCCGCACAAGCGGAGGAACAUGUGGUUUAAUUCGAUGAUACGCGAGGAACCUUACCCGGGCUUGAACUGCAGGGGAACGAUACAGAGAUGUUGAGGUCAGCAAUGACCCCUGUGGAGGUGCUGCAUGGUUGUCGUCAGCUCGUGCCGUGAGGUGUCGGCUUAAGUGCCAUAACGAGCGCAACCCUUUCCGUCAGUUGCCAUCACUUGGGGUGGGCACUCUGGCGGUACUGCCACCGUAAGGUGUGAGGAAGGUGGGGAUGACGUCAAAUCAGCACGGCCCUUACGUCCGGGGCUACACACGUGUUACAAUGGGUGGUACAGAGAGUCAAGUGCCGGCAACGUCACUUUAAUCAUGAAAGCCAUCCUCAGUUCGGAUUGGGGUCUGCAACCCGACCCCAUGAAGCUGGAUUCGCUAGUAAUCGCGCAUCAGCCAUGGCGCGGUGAAUACGUUCCCGGGCCUUGCACACACCGCCCGUCA
rnacentral:rRNA from 1 species